AAAUUUUGAUUCUCAAUAUCAUUAAACUUGCAAUUUAACAUUUUAAAUAAACUACAAAAUC
rnacentral:tRNA from 1 species